rfam:Nelumbo nucifera unplaced genomic scaffold scaffold00004, whole genome shotgun sequence
GAUCUAAGGGCUUUUGGGCUGAAACUCAGGGGUAUUUUGUGUGUGUGUGUGUGUGUGUGUGUUUUGCGUUUCGAAGGGAUCAAAAAGGUCUGAUCGGAUGUUCAGGAUAAAUUGGAGGUUAAAGCAACAAACCGACCAAAUAUUGAGUGCUGACACCUAUCAACUUUCGAUGGUAGGAUAGUAGCCUAGUAUGGUGGUGACGGGUGAUGGAGAAUUAGGGUUCAAUUCUAAAGAAGGAGCCUAAGAAAUGGCUACCACAUCCAAGGAACAGGCACGCAAAUUACCCAAUCCUAAUACAGGGAGGUAUUAACCAUUAAUAACAAUACCAAGCUCUACGAAUCUAGUAAUUUGAAUAAGUACAAUCUAAAUUCCUUAAUGGGGAUCCAUUGAAGGGAAAGUCUAGUGCUAGCAACUGUGGUAAUUCUAGCUCCAAUAGCUUAUAUUAAAGAUUUUGCAGUUAAAAAACUCAUAGUUGGACCUUAGGUUGGGCUGACCAGUUCGCCUCACAGUGUGCACCAGCCUCUCAUCGCUUCUACGUAGAAUGCAUUCCUAGCCUUAACUAGUUGAGCCAUGCCUCCAAUGUUAUUACUUUGAAAAAAUUAGAGUGCUCAAAGCAAGUCUACACUCUAGAAACAUUAGCAUGGGAUAACAUCAUAGGAUUUUGGUCCUAUUACGGUGGCCUUUAGGAUUAAAGUAAUGAUUAGCAAGGACAAUUGGGGGAGUUCGUGUUUCAUAGUCAAAGGUAAAAUUAUUGGAUUUAUGAAAUAUGAACCACUAUAAAAACAUUUGCCAAGGAUGUUUUCAUUAAUCAAGAACAAAAUUUUAGGGCUCAAAGGCAAUUAGAUGUUGUCCUAUUCUCAACCAUAAACAAUGCCAACCAAGGGUUAGCAAAUGUUUCUUUUAGGACUCCACUAGCACUUUAUGAGAAAUCAAAAUCUUUGGGUUCCAUUAAGAGUACGGUCGCAAGGUUGAAACUUAAAAGAAUUGAUAGAAGGACAUCACUAGGAGUGAAGCCUACAACUUAAUUUGACUCAACACGAGUAAACUUACCAAGUCCAGACAUAGUAAGGUUGACAGACUAAAAGCUCAUUCUUGAUUCUAUGAGUGUUGGUGCAUGGUCGUUCUUAGUUGGUGGAGUGAUUUGUCUAAUUAAUUCUGUUAACGAACGAGACAUCAACCUACUAAUUAGCUAUGUGGGGGCACCAUUUGUGGCUAGCUUCUUAGAGGGACCAUGUCCAUUUAAGCGACAAAGUUUUGAGGCGAUAAUAGGUUUGUGAUGCCCUUAGAUGUUUUGGGCCGCACACACAUUACACUGAUGUAUUCAACGAGUCUAUAGCCAUGGUUGAUAUAUCUGGAUAAUCUUUAAAAAUUUCAUUAUGAUGGGGAUAAAUCAUUACAUUUGUUGGUCUUCAACGAGGAAUUCCUAGUAAGCGCGAGUCAUCAGCUCGCGUUGACUACGUCCCUGCCCUUUGUACACACCGCCUAUCACUUCUACCAAUUGAAUGGUUUGCUGAAGUGUUCAGAUCAUGGCGGCAUAGGUAAUUUAUCGCACAUGACAUUGUGCGAAGUCCACUUAACCUUAUCAUUUAGAGGAAAGAGAAGUCAUAACAAGGUUUUCGUAUAUGAACCUACAGAAUGAUCAUUU